rnacentral:rRNA from 1 species
GUGGGGAAUAUUGCACAAUGGGCGCAAGCCUGAUGCAGCCAUGCCGCGUGUGUGAAGAAGGCCUUCGGGUUGUAAAGCACUUUCAGUAAGGAGGAAAGGUUAAGUGUUAAUAGCACUUAGCUGUGACGUUACUUACAGAAGAAGCACCGGCUAACUCCGUGCCAGCAGCCGCGGUAAUACGGAGGGUGCGAGCGUUAAUCGGAAUUACUGGGCGUAAAGCGUACGCAGGCGGUUUGUUAAGCGAGAUGUGAAAGCCCCGGGCUCAACCUGGGAACUGCAUUUCGAACUGGCAAACUAGAGUGUGAUAGAGGGUGGUAGAAUUUCAGGUGUAGCGGUGAAAUGCGUAGAGAUCUGAAGGAAUACCGAUGGCGAAGGCAGCCACCUGGGUCAACACUGACGCUCAUGUACGAAAGCGUGGGGAGCAA